UGGCCACAUCACGUUGAAAUACUGCCCCCCGUACGACCAGCGAAGUUAAGUAGCGUCGAGCCUGGUCAGUAUCUAGAUGGGUGACCGCUUUGGAAUACCAGACGCUGCAA